rnacentral:hammerhead_ribozyme from 1 species
GUCCAGCUAAAGAGUCCCAAAUAGGACUGGACGUGCGUCCUGGAU